rnacentral:rRNA from 1 species
AUGCAGUCGAACGGUAGCACAGAGAGCUUGCUCUCGGGUGACGAGUGGCGCACGGGUGAGUAAUGUCUGGGAAACUGCCUGAUGGAGGGGGAUAACUACUGGAAACGGUAGCUAAUACCGCAUAACGUCGCAAGACCAAAGAGGGGGACCUUCGGGCCUCUUGCCAUCAGAUGUGCCCAGAUGGGAUUAGCUAGUAGGUGGGGUAACGGCUCACCUAGGCGACGAUCCCUAGCUGGUCUGAGAGGAUGACCAGCCACACUGGAACUGAGACACGGUCCA